UACGGGGGGAGCAAGCGUUGUUCGGAUUUACUGGGCGUAAAGGGCGCGUAGGCGGUCGUGACAAGUCACUUGUGAAAUCUCCGGGCUUAAACUCGGAACGGUCAAGUGAUACUGUCGGACUAGAGUACAGAAGGGGCAACUGGAAUUCUCGGUGUAGCGGUGAAAUGCGUAGAUAUCGGGAGGAACACCGGUGGCGAAGGCGGCGACCUGGGUUGACACUGACGCUGAGGCGCGAAAAGCGUGGGGAGCAAACAGG
rnacentral:rRNA from 1 species